AUGGGCUGCGGGCUCCUCUGCUGGUGGUGUUUUGCCUCCUGGGCACAGGCUCUGCAGACUCUGGAAUUACCCAGAGACCAAAGUACUUGGUUGUAGGCAUGGGGAUCAAGAAAUCUUUGAUAUGUGAGCAGCAUCUGGGACACAACAGUAUGUACUGGUAUAAACAGGUCCCUGAGAAGCCCCCGGAGCUCAUGUUUCAAUUCAACUACAAGGAGCUGGUUACAAAUGAAACUACCUCUAGUCGCUUCUCCCCCAAAUGUCGAGACAGCUCUCACCUGUACCUUCACGUGGACGCCCUGGAGCCCAACGACUCUGCCGUGUACCUCUGUGCCAGCAGCAAGGACACAGCCCUCCAGAGUCACCCUCCGCCCAUGCACAAACUUACAUGA